rnacentral:lncRNA from 1 species
GUCGAAAUGGCUCAAUUUCCUCUCCGGAAACGAAUAAUAUUCCGCCCACGCAGCCGCCAUCCCCAAAAAGGAGAGAGGAACACAACAAACGAUGGAUGGAUGAAUGGAUGGAUGGACAGACAGACAGACAGACAGACAGACAGACAGAAUAUGUAUCUUUAUAUCUAAAGAGAUAGAAACGGUCUCGCAUACCGUAUUCCCAUUCUCUCGCAAGUUCUCUCUCUUGAAUGUCGCUGCCACCUCGCUACACAUACCCACAUGCACUUCGCUUACUAUACUCUGCGCCCACCGCUGCUCGCUAGAUAGGCUCUGCGAUGUUGAACUAAACAGCCGACUUCACGACGGCUGCAGUGACGCUCGUCGUCCAGACGUUCUCUUUCUUGGUCGGUCGGUCGGUCGGUCGGCUGGAUUGUGGUUUUGUGAUGGGUAGUGUGGCCUAGGACAGGGAGCAUACGACGGAACACGACCAUCAUGCAGGUGUUUGCUUCAACGUCAUCAAUUUUUUUGUUAUUACGAUAAUGGAUUCUAGAGUGGGAAUAUAAAUGGGACAUUACUGCUGAGGCCGUCGGAGAACCGAAUGAAUACACUAGUGCUGCUGCUGCUGCUGUUGCACCAUGGUCGUGGAUGCUGGCGAUGACGAGCGGCGGGGCAGGGCCUACGAAGAGGCAAAUGGCUGCUUGUUGUCAGUUGGCGCAACCUUCUUCUCUUACCGUCGUGUUUCGUUCGCAAUUGUGGUGCCAAUGGCGGUCGUCAUAGCAGCAGCUGCCGCCGCUGCCAGUGAUGACGGUCGUAGUAAUAGCGGAAACAUGACCCUGUUGCCCGAUGCGCGCUAUGCCUAUGCCUAGGCCUCCAACUAAGAGUCGCGCCCACAGACGCCCAUUCUCGUUGAAAAAAUGAAUUUAUUAAUGGCCGUGUGGACAGAAAGGGUCAGCUUACCACUCCAGUCUAUGACGAAGACCUUGACAUCAAAAUGCAGCUUGUCUUCAGCAAACGAGCCCCUUCGAGACACACACGCUACACGAUAAGCCAGCCGAGCACGCGAACUCCCAUCAUCAGCUAGUGACGAUGAUGGUUUUCAUCACUGCACUUUACUGGAUUUUUAAUGCUACUAGUGGAAAACAAACGUAAUGGUGUUCAAAUUCUCUCAAUGGCCCUGUUCCGUUGAUGUCGGAUUGCCGGAGACGCUGCAUUCAAGGAGCAUAUAGCGCUGCCGCUAGGGACAGGCAUCAACCCCGUGCGACAACAAUUAGAUCUCUUGUGUCGUUACUCUAGUCAUUUGUGCGUGCAUAAAUGUACCAUACUCGUAAGUAUAAUAAGUACCAUGCAUGUGCGUGUGUGAGAGGUAAAAAAAGCAACAACUAUAUCCACAGAGAUCAGAAAAAUUAAGGAACACGAAGCAGUACGAGUGAUAGGGGACCAUUGUGCGAGAUGAAGAAGGAGAAGGUUUGUUCACGUUCAGCUAUCAGCCGAUCGAGAGAAGUUAAGGUUGUCUGUUCUAUUUUGUCUGUCCUGGCUGGCUGUCUGUCUGUCUGUGUGUUCUGCACGAGCUGUCUCCUACUGCACCAAGAUCAGCUGCUGCUUUGCUGGCUUGACUGGCCGCUUGGCCUGAUCGCUGGUAGCUACGGAUGCCAACUAGAAGAACAAGAAGGCGAAGAAGCGGCCAAGCUAGCCUAGCGAUUCGGUCGUUCGUGACCCUCGUGAGUCACCCAUUCUUGGACUGAGGUCUGCCGAGAGAAAGGACGGAAGGGGAGAACGCCUCGAGAUGGUAAGGCGGUUACACUGGGCCACUGCCUCCGCAGUAGCUACAAUGACUGCACGAACUCGUCCAACCCGCUCCACACUCCACCAGUAUUGUGCCAUUGUACCGCGAUCAACAAAAAAACUAGCCAUGCUUCAGAAGGUUACUGACUGCUGGUCCGACAAAACUAUGGUUCUACGACGACUGAUUUCCUGAAUACACUCCUGCGCCCUUUGGCUCCUACAGUAAGAGGCUUUCCGCGGUGUUCAGGCCUUUGCACAUGCAAGCAGAACAGUCUCCUGUACAGCGGGCUUAGGCUGCAAGUGAAUCGUCCGUGUCUCCAUAGCUAGCGAUUUGGCGCUGGUUAACCGUUAUUCUCUUCGAAGCGAAGCAGAUUUCGUUCGCCACUUCAUUUAAAGCAUAGCAGACUUCUUGACCAAUUGUGUUAAGUUUCGUCACGGAAAACUGAGCGUCUUGCUCAUGCAGCUUCUGCUCCUGAUGCAGCCGUCGCUUUAUCGUCAGCUUCGAUGCCAUCGAAUUCGCAAAAACAACGAAAAACAUAGACCGGCAUAUUGUUGUCGUUGUUAGUGGGAGCGCCAUUGCGUGCGCUAGGGGGGCGGUCCUGGGUCUCCAUUACGGUCGCAGUAGGGCUGUUGUUAGCGAACCGCUGCAGCAGAACAUACCCCAGGACCGCGGAGACAGUGGGAAAUUUGCAGUUGAAACAAAGAGGUGGGCAGGACCCGCUCAGCAGAGGAAAGAAGCUAUGGCUGUAGACGGACUGUGACGAGGUGAUGUACGAUCGUCUCCCCACAAAAUAACUAAUCCUGCUUCUCCGCUGGUAGAUCGGCCGGCCCUCUUUCCCUCCACUAGAAUCUCCCUGUUUAUUUCCCGCGGUCGACGACAUAACCAUCUUUGGUGAGGACCAAAGGUAGUGAUCAGAAAUUAAGCGAAGUCGUCAUGAAGAGUUAAAGGCCCUCAGUGAUGGUCGCGGCUAGAACAUUCCCGGGAUAAGCGAAGGUGAACCUCGCCAAUGAAACUGACACAUGGCAAUAACAACAAUAGCAGUGGUGCAAUAAUAAGCAGGUGGUAUAGGAAACAAUGAAAGCUAUAGCUUGAUCUUUUACCCGUUUAUCACAACUUCUUGACGCAAAAGCUUCUUCACUGAAGAAGAUCGAUUCGAAGCAACUGAAACAGAGGGCUCAUCAGGAAAAUCAACGUCUGAUGUAGCAAGUAUAGCAGCUCUUCACUGUGAUCGUCGCGCUUUUUGGUCGAUUUGAUGGAAAAUGAAAUUGCCCCGGAAGUGAAAAGGAACAAAAAACUUCGUAAGGAGAAGAAAAUUUGUGGAGAAGGGGCAAUAAUAGACUAAACUAGGCGUCCUGUUUCUUGAGUCGACCGUUGCCUUGCACAGUAAAAGUAGUAAAAAGCAAGGUGCAUCUGGUAUCCCACGGAUGGCUAUUCCUUUGAGGGUGAUGGACAGCCUGGACAACUUGCACUACCUUCAUUUGGACCAUGUGUUUGUUGCACUACCUUACAGCCUUUGGUCCCUUCAUUCCCUGAACUAUGCCUCUUCUCUUUCAGCGACCUCACGAAUCCAUCGAAUCGAUGCACACAAGGAAAAAGAAUGGGAGUGAGGGGCAAGAAGUUUACGACGAAAUCACUACAAACGCGGUUAUCGUAUACAAUGCAUAGCAAGUCCUUAAAGAGACCUAUAACAUGGAUCGUAGGCCAGAUACGUGUAAAAUCUACUUGUACCAAGAUGAUUCGAUACCUUAGGAAACGUCGUGAAAUAAAUAUGUAACUAAAACAAUAUAAUUUCAAUAGGAAGCUAAUAGCAAAUUUCAGAUUCGUAUCACAGAAUUAACUGGCCGUUGCCGCUGUGGGUACAUUUCGUUCUACGACUACACUUUUACGCCGCUCGUAUUGCCCCUGACUGGACGUGCAGGCGUAACCGACUAAUUUAAUAGUAGUAGCGGAUAAUGCAAGGGCGUUUGGCAUCGUUGCAGUGAUUCAGCUCCGAUCUAUUGAGUACGCACGAGUCAUGGAAUUGCCUCUCGAAAUUUAACCAAGAGUCACCCGCUUUCUACGAUGUGCCUCCGCUGUAUUACUAUGAAUCAUUAUGGUUCGAACCGCUAAUUGUAUUACUCCUCGAAGACUUUCAUUAAGCCUAGUUGUCAAACGGUCACUCAUUGGCAUUAUGUAAUCCAAAGUCAUUCUCAGGUGUUAUCAAUGAUCAUCGAUGAAAACAGCCGUCCAAAUUCUGUUCUUUUUCGUGCAUCAGAGUAGAAUCAGAACAUAGAAAGAUGGCACGGUGGCCUCCAGCUAAAGAACAGCCCCUCAAAGGUCGUGAUGUCAAAGAUAUAGCUCACAUCCGCCAGCAUCCACAAUCAUUGUGUUUUUUCGUCUCUUACAUGAAGGAACUCAACCUCGUCGGGGCUGGCUUUUUCUCGGCAGAACAAUUUCAAGCAACACAGUAUACAUAUGCAUGCAUUUACGCGUUACCUGUAUUUGGCAACUAUAGACUUUGGCCAACAUGUGCGUGAAUACAUUUCUACCUGUUCGCACAACACGGCUGCCGAACAGACGAGGUCUCCUGUUGAGAUUAGCUGCUAAAGUCAUACUGUAUCUACACUCGACAAAAAACGGCAGGCAGCAGGCCAGACCCACGUUCAUAAACGCAUAGCUUGGUUAUUUACUUUAUUUUAUUUACUUAUUUAUUCGGGUAA